AGUGAACGCUGGCGGUAGGCCUAACACAUGCAAGUCGAACGGCAGCACAGUAAGAGCUUGCUCUUACGGGUGGCGAGUGGCGGACGGGUGAGGAAUACAUCGGAAUCUACUUUUUCGUGGGGGAUAACGUAGGGAAACUUACGCUAAUACCGCAUACGACCUACGGGUGAAAGCAGGGGAUCUUUGGACCUUGCGCGAUUGAAUGGGCCGGUGUCGGAUUAGCUAGUUGGCGGGGUAAGGGCCCACCAAGGCGACGAUGCGUAGCUGGUCUGAGCGGAUGAGCGGAGACACUGGGACGGAGAGAAGGACCAGACGCGUACGGGAGGCAGCAGUGGGGAAUAUUGCACAAUGGGCGGAAGCCUGAUGGAGAAACGAAGCGGGCGGGAUGACGGCCUUCGGGUGGUAAACAGCGUUCGACUGUGACGAAGAGUGAGUGACGGUAAUGGGUAAGGAAGGACCGGCUAAAUACGUG
rnacentral:rRNA from 1 species